GCGGAAAUAGCUCAUUUGGUAGAGCAUCAGCUUCCCAAGCUGAGGGUGGCCGGUUCGAGCCCGGUUUUCCGCUCCG
rnacentral:tRNA from 1 species